rnacentral:rRNA from 1 species
UACGAAGGGAGCUAGCGUUGUUCGGAAUCACUGGGCGUAAAGCGCACGUAGGCGGAUUUGUAAGUCAGGGGUGAAAUCCCGGGGCUCAACCUCGGAACUGCCUUUGAUACUGCAAAUCUCGAGUCCGAUAGAGGUGGGUGGAAUUCCUAGUGUAGAGGUGAAAUUCGUAGAUAUUAGGAAGAACACCGGUGGCGAAGGCGGCCCACUGGAUCAGUACUGACGCUGAGGUGCGAAAGCGUGGGGAGCAAACAGG